CCUACGGGUGGCAGCAGUGAGGAAUAUUGGUCAAUGGACGAAAGUCUGAACCAGCCAAGUAGCGUGAAGGAUGACUGCCCUAUGGGUUGUAAACUUCUUUUAUAUGGGGAUAAAACGUUCCACGUGUGGGAUUUUGUAUGUACCAUAUGAAUAAGGAUCGGCUAACUCCGUGCCAGCAGCCGCGGUAAUACGGAGGAUCCGAGCGUUAUCCGGAUUUAUUGGGUUUAAAGGGAGCGUAGGUGGCUUGUUAAGUCAGUUGUGACAGGUGGCGGCUCAACCGUAAAAUUGCAGUUGAAACUGGCAGUCUUGAGUACAGUAGAGGUGGGCGGAAUUCGUGGUGUAGCGGUGAAAUGCUUAGAUAUCACGAAGAACUACGAUUGCGAAGGCAGUUCACUGGACUGCAACUGACACUGAGGCUCGAAAGUGUGGGUAUCAAACAGGAUUAGAUACCCCGGUAGUC
rnacentral:rRNA from 1 species